CCACAUUUAUGUAUAGUUUUAUCCAUACAGCUCACAAACUAUGAACAGUUUGUGUGGUGCAUAUAGAAGGUUCAAAUAGAAGCAGCAGAUAUAGAAAAUAGAAACUUAUCUAGAAAAUGUGUUUGACUUGUCAAGGAUUCUAGAAAGAAAAAAGAAGGAAAAAUGGAUUUUCUUCAUAGUUCCAGCAUUUUGAUUUAGCUACAACUUAAUGCCCUCUAUAGAGAGAGAUAGAAAGGAAACAAGAAGUAAAAUUAAAUGAAAAACAUUAGUUCUUACAUCACACAAACAAGUGGUGCUCAUCAGCUGAUGAGCUUCCCUUCCCCCCUUCAUAGAACUAGCUAGGGUAUAUUCAUCCAAUUAACCCUCUCAACUACAUCUCGUCUGUUUGUUUAACUAGUCAAUUCACAUCUGCAAAUGGAGUUCGGUUUUCUGCAAGACGCGGAAUUUUGCUUUCAACUUCGAUCCAUUUUAAUUGUUUCUCAAUGAAAUUUUCUUCCCUGAUUUUUGUCCUCAUCUCUUCAAUGGAUGCAAGGCUGGGGACUGAUACAAUUUUUUUGUGAGAUGUUGAACUUGUUUCCUUGUCAACCUGUUCAUGAACAACAAAACAAACUUCAAACUGGUGGCUAAUUCACAUAAUAAUAAUAAUAAU
rnacentral:lncRNA from 1 species